GCCAGCAUGGCACAAUGGUUUGAAUGUUGGACUACAACUCUGGUGACCAGGGUUCGAUUCCCAACUUGGCC
rnacentral:tRNA from 1 species